UGGCGGCAGGCUUACACAUGCAAGUCGAACGCCCCGCAAGGGGAGUGGCAGACGGGUGAGUAACGCGUGGGAACAUACCCUUUCCUGCGGAAUAGCUCCGGGAAACUGGAAUUAAUACCGCAUACGCCCUACGGGGGAAAGAUUUAUCGGGGAAGGAUUGGCCCGCGUUGGAUUAGCUAGUUGGUGGGGUAAAGGCCUACCAAGGCGACGAUCCAUAGCUGGUCUGAGAGGAUGAUCAGCCACAUUGGGACUGAGACACGGCCCAAACUCCUACGGGAGGCAGCAGUGGGGAAUAUUGGACAAUGGGCGCAAGCCUGAUCCAGCCAUGCCGCGUGAGUGAUGAAGGCCUUAGGGUUGUAAAGCUCUUUCACCGGAGAAGAUAAUGACGGUAUCCGGAGAAGAAGCCCCGGCUAACUUCGUGCCAGCAGCCGCGGUAAUACGAAGGGGGCUAGCGUUGUUCGGAAUUACUGGGCGUAAAGCGCACGUAGGCGGAUAUUUAAGUCAGGGGUGAAAUCCCAGAGCUCAACUCUGGAACUGCCUUUGAUACUGGGUAUCUUGAGUAUGGAAGAGGUAAGUGGAAU
rnacentral:rRNA from 1 species